UCUAAAACCCUGGCUACAGGUAGUUCAUCAGAGCCAGGAUACUUGGCCUCUAGAGACACUCCAUUCGAGAAAACUCAUUUCACCUGAAGUUCUUCUCCUAGCGGCAUGAGAUGUGUGCACAGCUUUGUGACUCAUCAGGUCAGCUCAUGGGAUCUGGGCCAACUUCAUGGAGAAUAUCAUCAACUAUCCUGAGUUGCAAGGGGUUUGAUCAUCAAGUCUAACAGCUGGCUUCCCACAGGACUACCUAAAAAUUAAACCAUAUAUCUGACAGUGUUGUCCAAAAGCUUCCUGAACUCUGGCUUGCUUGCUGACAUGACUGGAUCUUGUGGUUAACGCAGGAGGUAUCUCAACACCAUACGGCCAUUCGUUCACUCCCCCAUACGCACCCGUGUUGUUUAGCAUACUUGAGUUGCAUCCCUGUGCCCAGUGGUGUGCUCUUGUGACCCCUGGAGAGCUCACAACACUCCCAGUGCACUCUAGCAACUGCUGGAUUUUCCAGGUGGACCUCUAGACUGCUCUUAGAGGUUACUAGGUGUGUGGUGGUUGUACUUGGGUGGGUGGCCAAGCUCCACCACAACUGGUCUCUCACUCCCCCUCCUCAAAGAGAAACAGGGAGAAGCUACUCACAAGCAGGAGCACUGGGAGGGAAGCAGGUACAGAUCUUUCCCUCGUGAAAGAAACAGCCCUGAGAAUGGCAGAAGAGCAGUCAAAUACUCAAAGUACAGAUCUGGCAGCGGAGGAAGAUCAGAACAAGGUAGCAAUAGAUAUUACCGAUCCAAAGGGGAAAGAAGUUGGAGCAGAGAAAGAUACUAUCGAGAUGAACCGAAUGAUGAUCGAGAUGAUCAUUACAAAAGCGGAUGGCCUCACAGUUCAUAUACAAGAAGUAUAUGCUUUCCUCUGAGAAGGCUAAUUCAUCACGAAACAGCUCUCUGCAACUUCUAGUAUUAAACGUUGUUUAUGGGAAGACUUAUUUUUAGUGAAUCAAGAAAUACAUUCAUGUAAUUCUAGACUGUGUUUUUUGGAAGUGUUUUUCUCUGGCUAGUCCACGAAGUGCUCUGGGAUAAUUUUUCUAUCUUCAUGGUCUCUCUUUAGGAGGUAAAAUAUCCUGAGUAUUUGGACCUUCGAGCCUAUGUGUCGCAGUCAAUUGGAGAACCACUCCUGUACACCUUAUAUGCAGUGCUGGUGCAUCAUGGUAUCAACUGUCGCUCAGUUGCAGCAGCAUGUUUUAGCUGGAAGCUCCUGGCACUUUGUUUGAAUCUGUUCAACUGCAGUGCAAGUUGCAUUGUUCCUCAUUUUUUCCAGAUGAUAUGAAGAUAGUGGUGCUGAGCUAUGAGAAUAUGCAAACUUCCCGCAAACUUCCUCUCUCAAGUGUGACACUGAAUGUAGCUCUAAAAAGCUUUCCUCCUCAGCUAUUGCAGAGAGAUGCCAAGGUAGAAAGGACGAGACGAAAAACACUGAGAAAGAGCAUUACCAAAGCAAGAGGGAACAUGCUCCUACUGAAGAGAAGGAGAGUCAAAAAGCAGGUCCUUCCAGCAAAAGGAGGUGUUCUCUGAGCGUGGAAGUUGUGGAGCAAAAGCGUCACAAGCAGGAGCACUGGGAGGGAAGCAGAUGUCAUCACAAUUUGGGGUGGUGUGUCCAAGCAGGUUCGGCAAUUGCUCAUGAUGACGAAGCCUCGGGCCGUCACUGUAACAGGACUGGGGACAUUCCAUAUUAAAAAAUGGCUAUCUUUUGAAAAUGGCCAGGUGUUCACAUUUCGGAGACCUGUGUUUUCACCGUCCAAGACUCUUGGACAGAUUCGUAACCUGAAACACCGUUGUGUACGCGUUCCUGAUGAUAUGAAGAUAGUGGUGCUGAGCUAUGAGAAUAUGCGCCUGAACGUCCCGUACAGCAAGGAAAUAGUGCAGAGCUGUUUGGAGGAGACCUUGCAAUACUUCUACCGCAUCCUCACAAAUAGGGAGGACACGGACUUCACCUUAAAGGAUUUUGGCACUCUUGCUAUCCGAGGGCAAAGAGUGAAAAUGACGUUUUCUGAAGGGUUUUUACACAGUCUCAACAAGUCCACAUACGUGGUAGAGAAGCUGAUUGCUACUUCAGGAUUUGUGUUUCUGUGCGCUCCACUUUGACAAUGCCAAUCGCAAGCGUAAGCAAAGGAAGAAAAAGGAGAAGAAAAAGAAGAAAAAGGAGAAACACCAGGAAAGUGAAAGGGUCCUUGGAACACUUAGAUCUUUGUUUCCAGAAGAUAACGCGGGAGAAGAAGGAAGAAUCCCAUCCUCCAGAUGGCUCUUCAUGUGAGCAAUGCAGAAGCAAGGGCAGUAAACAACCUUACAAGGAAAGAAAGCCUUCCAGUGCACGCGGAAGCAAGAAAUACAGCUCCAUCGCAUCCAACGACUAUACUAAAGUGUCGCGGACCCUCCGAAAUCUACUGGGAAGGAUGAAUACCUCGCACAGUACCAAUGUGAUGACGGUGGAGACAAGGAGAAACCAAGAAGAUGAAAAGAACAUGACCUCAUUUCAAAAGAAAGCGUUUUGUCCGGCAAAGAGUCUUCUGAGCCUGCUAUUGCAGAGAGAUGCCAAGGUAGAAAGGACAAGACUAAAAACACUGAGAAAGAGCAUUACCAAAGCAAGAGGGAACAUGCUCCUAGUGAAGAGAAGGAGAGUCAAAAAGCAGGUCCUUCCAGCAAAAGGAGGUGUUCUCUGAGCGUGGAAGUUGUGGAGCAAAAGCGUCACAAGCAGGAGCACUGGGAGGGAAGCAGAUGUCAUCACAAUUUGGGGUGGUGUGUCCAAGCAGGUUCGGCAAUUGCUCAUGAUGACGAAGCCUCGGGCCGUCACUGUAACAGGACUGGGGACAUUCCAUAUUAAAAAAUGGCUAUCUUUUGAAAAUGGCCAGGUGUUCACAUUUCGGAGACCUGUGUUUUCACCGUCCAAGACUCUUGGACAGAUUCGUAACCUGAAACACCGUUGUGUACGCGUUCCUGAUGAUAUGAAGAUAGUGGUGCUGAGCUAUGAGAAUAUGCGCCUGAACGUCCCGUACAGCAAGGAAAUAGUGCAGAGCUGUUUGGAGGAGACCUUGCAAUACUUCUACCGCAUCCUCACAAAUAGGGAGGACACGGACUUCACCUUAAAGGAUUUUGGCACUCUUGCUAUCCGAGGGCAAAGAGUGAAAAUGACGUUUUCUGAAGGGUUUUUACACAGUCUCAACAAGUCCACAUACGUGGUAGAGAAGCUGAUUGCUAAAAAGUUGGUCAGACUGGACAAAGAAACUGCCCUGUUCCCAAGCCAUUUUGGCCGUGCCCACCUGUUCCCUCAGUUUGAGAUUAAGGCGGUACCUCGGCUUGCUAGGGAGCGUCUUGCAGAGGAAGAGAUACUUAAUGCACAAGCGUCUCUUCUUCAUACAUUAAAACUUGCGCAAAGGAGACUUUCUCCAAGCACAUUGGCCACAGCUGAAGCGAAGGAAGAAGCAGAGGAGGAAACAAAGGCAAAAGAGUCUCCUGGCAGACUGUUCCCUGUAUGUCCAGACACAGAAGGAAGGCAGCACAAAGAAACUCCCCGCAAGAGGCUUAAAUUGCCAUUGCUUGCUUCUGAAGAUCAUAGACACACAGGACAGGAAGCACUCUCUGUACUGGGGGUGCAGGUUGGAGGGAAACUGGAGGCGUCUGUGGCCAGCAAGGAGAAAGAAGAGACCAGAGAAGCAAAAAGAGUCACAUUUCCAAAACUGCUGGAACAGCAAGAUGAGGGACAAAGGGAUAAGAUGUGGAUGGGCCAGCAGCGACAGGAAGAAGAAGAUAGCCUCAGCUCCCCAGAGAUCACCUGUGAUACAAAAGAUGAUCUACAAAAGCUGGAGGCUUGGAUUCAGGAGAGGAAGCAACUCCGGUCUCAGCUGAAAAGCUUUGGAGAUGUUGAAAAAUGGCUGAGUCAUAAACCUACCUUUACCAAACUGGAAGAAAGAGUCAGGAAACGAAUAACGGCAGCUAGAGUAGACCAGAGGGCUAGAAGCAAGUCAGUCGAGACCGACAGGCCAGACUGUUCACCACCACCAAGGAGCCAGACCCGGAAGAAGGGUAGCCUUCCCCUUAUUUGUGCACCAUACCCUCAAGCUCUUAUCGCACUGCAUAACCUCCUACACCAACAGAAGUUGACAAUGGUAGACAUCUUCAGAAAGGCUGGAAUGGAACAGAGAAAGAUCAUGAGAGCAGACUUCAUUAAAGUCAUCAAGGAGACAAAAGUUCCCAUCAGUGACAAGGAGCUGGAGGAUGUGGUCAUCUUCUUGACUUCUUCAAAGCGGAGGAAUUAUAUAAGCAGUGAAGAUCUGAUUGAAUGUCAAAAGCAGUGGCAGGAAAUGAGGAAAGGACAGCCCAAAGAGACCGGCGAAGAUACACAGCCUUGGGUCUGGAGAAACGCUUGCAAAGCUGCCACUUCUCCACCUUCUGCUGGGGACAAAGCUGUGGGGAUGAAGCCUUGCUCUCCCACGGAGCCCAAAGAAAAGCUAAUACUCUUGGAAGUGCCCCCAGUCAACACUGAGCCAGGCCGGCGACAUUUAGACUGGGAUGAAAUGGAAGAGAUUGGAAAGCGCUCAAGAGAGAGCAGACGGCUGGAGAAGAUCAAAGACAGCCCGAUAGAGUGGAAAGAAAAGUGUCGGCUGGUGAGAUCUGGGGAUGCACCCGUCGAUGAACACUGCCUGCCAUCAACUAUAGAGGGUGACAUGGGAGCACUGGUUGACCACUAUCGCAGAAAUGCCGUUGUGAACUAUCUGAAUUGCUCCAAGCAGUGCAAGGAGCGUAACAUCUGUCUCACCGACAAAGCGCUGCAAAGAGGCCUGCUGCACCCAGGAGACAAGAUCAUCAAAGAAGGAGAAGACGUGAGGAAGAUCAGGCAGCCUGGAGGAUACUACAGCACAGGACAUGCUGACGCCACAUCUCCUCUGAGCAUGUCCAGGUCAAAAAGUGCAUCAGGAAAACAGGCCAAGGAGGCAGAAAACAGGCGUCUUGAGAAGAAUAAGAAUCAAAAGUCAAGCGACAAUAACUUCUGGCCAGGCCAUCUCCUGGACAAGAUGCGCCUGUACUUUCCAGAUAAGGAGCCUGACAGGGCACACGCCUUGUUUAGCUAUGUUCACCCAACCAGGCCUGCCUACCGUGGUAUCUAAAACCCUGGCUACAGGUAGUUCAUCAGAGCCAGGAUACUUGGCCUCUAGAGACACUCCAUUCGAGAAAACUCAUUUCACCUGAAGUUCUUCUCCUAGCGGCAUGAGAUGUGUGCACAGCUUUGUGACUCAUCAGGUCAGCUCAUGGGAUCUGGGCCAACUUCAUGGAGAAUAUCAUCAACUAUCCUGAGUUGCAAGGGGUUUGAUCAUCAAGUCUAACAGCUGGCUUCCCACAGGACUACCUAAAAAUUAAACCAUAUAUCUGACAGUGUUGUCCAAAAGCUUCCUGAACUCUGGCUUGCUUGCUGACAUGACUGGAUCUCGUGGUUAACGCAGGAGGUAUCUCAACACCAUACGGCCAUUCGUUCACUCCCCCAUACGCACCCGUGUUGUUUAGCAUACUUGAGUUGCAUCCCUGUGCCCAGUGGUGUGCUCUUGUGACCCCUGGAGAGCUCACAACACUCCCAGUGCACUCUAGCAACUGCUGGAUUUUCCAGGUGGACCUCUAGACUGCUCUUAGAGGUUACUAGGUGUGUGGUGGUUGUACUUGGGUGGGUGGCCAAGCUCCACCACAACUGGUCUCUCACUCCCCCUCCUCAAAGAGAAACAGGGAGAAGCUACUCACAAGCAGGAGCACUGGGAGGGAAGCAGGUACAGAUCUUUCCCUGGUGAAAGAAACAGCCCUGAGAAUGGCAGAAGAGCAGUCAAAUACUCAAAGUACAGAUCUGGCAGCGGAGGAAGAUCAGAACAAGGUAGCAAUAGAUAUUACCGAUCCAAAGGGGAAAGAAGUUGGAGCAGAGAAAGAUACUAUCGAGAUGAACCGAAUGAUGAUCGAGAUGAUCAUUACAAAAGCGGAUGGCCUCACAGUUCGUAUACAAGAAGUAUAUGCUUUCCUCUGAGAAGGCUAAUUCAUCACGAAACAGCUCUCUGCAACUUCUAGUAUUAAACGUUGUUUAUGGGAAGACUUAUUUUUAGUGAAUCAAGAAAUAUAUUCAUGUAAUUCUAGACUGUGUUUUUUGGAAGUGUUUUUCUCUGGCUAGUCCACGAAGUGCUCUGGGAUAAUUUUUCUAUCUUCAUGGUCUCUCUUUAGGAGGUAAAAUAUCCUGAGUAUUUGGACCUUCGAGCCUAUGUGUCGCAGUCAAUUGGAGAACCACUCCUGUACACCUUAUAUGCGGUGCUGGUGCAUCAUGGUAUCAACUGUCGCUCAGUUGCAGCAGCAUGUUUUAGCUGGAAGCUCCUGGCACUUUGUUUGAAUCUGUUCAACUGCAGUGCAAGUUGCAUUGUUCCUCAUUUUUUCCAGAUGAUAUGAAGAUAGUGGUGCUGAGCUAUGAGAAUAUGCGCCUGAACGUCCCGUACAGCAAGGAAAUAGUGCAGAGCUGUUUGGAGGAGACCUUGCAAUACUUCUACCGCAUCCUCACAAAUAGGGAGGACACGGACUUCACCUUAAAGGAUUUUGGCACUCUUGCUAUCCGAGGGCAAAGAGUGAAAAUGACGUUUUCUGAAGGGUUUUUACACAGUCUCAACAAGUCCACAUACGUGGUAGAGAAGCUGAUUGCUACUUCAGGAUUUGUGUUUCUGUGCGCUCCACUUUGACAAUGCCAAUCGCAAGCGUAAGCAAAGGAAGAAAAAGGAGAAGAAAAAGAAGAAAAAAGAGAAACACCAGGAAAGUGAAAGGGUCCUUGGAACACUUAGAUCUUUGUUUCCAGAAGAUAACGCGGGAGAAGAAGGAAGAAUCCCAUCCUCCAGAUGGCUCUUCAUGUGAGCAAUGCAGAAGCAAGGGCAAUAAACAACCUUACAAGGAAAGAAAGCCUUACAGUGCACGCGGAAGCAAAAAAUACAGCUCCAUCGCAUCCAACGACUAUACUAAAGUGUCGCGGACCCUCCGAAAUCUACUGGGAAGGAUGAAUACCUCGCACAGUACCAAUGUGAUGACGGUGGAGACAAGGAGAAACCAAGAAGAUCAAAAGAACGUGACCUCAUUUCAAAAGAAAGCGUUUUGUACGGCAAAGAGACUUCUGAGCCUGCUAUUGCAGAGAGAUGCCAAGGUAGAAAGGACGAGACGAAAAACACUGAGAAAGAGCAUUACCAAAGCAAGAGGGAACAUGCUCCUACUGAAGAGAAGGAGAGUCAAAAAGCAGGUCCUUCCAGCAAGAGAAGGAUCACCUUGAAUACAAAAAAAUACAAAUUUGACCCCUGCCGGAGCAGAUUCCAGGCCGGACCUGUAGCCCGUGGAGAGGAGACCACGCAG